rnacentral:rRNA from 1 species
GGGGGGGGGGGGGGGUGGGGCGGGGGCGGGCGGGGGGGGGGGCCGCGGGGUAAGAGGGGGCUCUGGGGGGGGGCGAGGGGCGGGCGGGGGGGGGGUACAUCGGGAUCUACUUUGUCGUGGGGGAUAACGUAGGGAAACUUACGCUAAUACCGCAUACGACCUACGGGUGAACGCCGGGGAUCUUCGGACCUUGGGCUAUUGGAUGAGACGAUGACGGGUUAGCUAGUUGGCGGGGUAAAGUCCCACCAAGGCGACGAGCCGUCGCUGGUCUGAGAGGAUGAUCAGCCACAGUGGAACUGAGACACGGUCCAGACUCCUACGGGAGGCAGCAGUGGGGAAUAUUGGACAAUGGGCGCAAGCCUGAUCCAGCCAUACCGCGUGGGUGAAGAAGGCCUUCGGGUUGUAAAGCCCUUUUGUUGGGAAAGAAAAGCAGCAGGUUAAUACCCCGCUGUUCUGACGGUACCCAAAGAAUAAGCACCGGCUAACUUCGUG